ACCUUUAGUACUUUCCAAACUAGUGGUGGCUAAUACGGAGAGAGAACCGACGUUAAUUGACCAGUAGAAAAUCAUAUAGGCACGAGAGGUGGUGACGACGGGGUCAACAAUGACCUUGCUACCAUUUUUCUUGGUCUUUACAUAAGGAGGAAUUUUUGGAAGCUGUUCAGCCAUCAAGGGGGAAACAUUGGAUUUGAUACCACCGGUUCCAAGACCAAUGAUGAUCAAAGAGACGACAAACCCACCCAUACUUUUUCCGGCAUCAAUGACAGAAGGAAUAGCAGUACAUGUAAGAAUCAAGAUACCAAUAAAG